GUGCCAGCCGCUGCGGUAAUACGGAGGGUGCAAGCGUUAAUCGGAAUUACUGGGCGUAAAGCGCACGCAGGCGGUCUGACAAGUCGGAUGUGAAAUCCCCGGGCUCAACCCGGGAACUGCAUUCGAAACUGUCAGGCUGGAGUCUUGUAGAGGGGGGUAGAAUUCCAGGUGUAGCGGUGAAAUGCGUAGAGAUCUGGAGGAAUACCGGUGGCGGAGGCGGCCCCCUGGACAAAGACUGACGCUCAGGUGCGAAAGCGUGGGGAGCAAACAGGAUUAGAUACCCUGGUAGUCCACGCUGUAAACGAUGUCGACUUGGAGGUCGUGCCCAUGAGGCGUGGCUUCCGGAGCUAACGCGUUAAAUCGACCGCCUGGGGAGUACGGCCGCAAGGUUAAAACUCAAAUGAAUUGACGGGGCCCGCACAAGCGGUGGAGCAUGUGGUUUAAUUCGAUGCAACGCGAAGAACCUUACCUGGUCUUGACAUCCACAGAAGUUUCCAGAGAUGGAAUGUGCCUUAGGGAACUGUGAGACAGGU
rnacentral:rRNA from 1 species